UACAGAGGUCUCAAGCGUUGUUCGGAUUCAUUGGGCGUAAAGGGUGCGUAGGCGGCGCGGCAAGUCGGGUGUGAAAUCUCGGGGCUUAACUCCGAAACUGCAUUCGAUACUGCCGUGCUUGAGGACUGGAGAGGAGACUGGAAUUUACGGUGUAGCGGUGAAAUGCGUAGAUAUCGUAAGGAAGACCAGUGGCGAAGGCGGGUCUCUGGACAGUACCUGACGCUGAGGCACGAAGGCCAGGGGAGCAAACGGG
rnacentral:rRNA from 1 species